AUUGAACGCUGGCGGCAUGCUUUACACAUGCAAGUCGAACGGUAACAGGCCGCAUGUUUCUGACGAGUGUCUAACGGGUGUGUAAUUCAUCUGAACGUGCCCAGUCUUUGGGUUUAACUACUCUUAAGAGUAGCUAAUACCUCAUACGAUCUAUUGAUUAUAUCGGGGGACCGUAAGGCCUCUCUCGAUUUUUUCGGCCGAUGUCAGAUUAGGUAGUUGGUGGGGUAAAGGCUCACCAAUCCAACGAUCUGUAUCUGGUCUGAGAGGACGACCAGCCACACUGGAACUGAGACACGGAAAAGAGUACUACGGGAGGCAGCAGUGGGGAAGUUUGGACAAUGGGCGAAAGCAUGAUACAGAAAUGCCGCGUGAAGGAAGAAGGACUUCGGGUUGUAAACUGCGUUUGUACGGAAAGAAACGGAUCUGGUUAAUACCCGGGGAUAAUGACGGUAACGGAAGAAUAAGCACCGGCUAACUACGUG
rnacentral:rRNA from 1 species